rnacentral:rRNA from 1 species
UACGUAGGGUGCAAGCGUUAAUCGGAAUUACUGGGCGUAAAGCGUGCGCAGGCGGUUUUGUAAGUUUGUCGUGAAAUCCCCGGGCUCAACCUGGGAAUGGCGAUGAAGACUGCAAGGCUAGAAUCUGGCAGAGGGGGGUAGAAUUCCACGUGUAGCAGUGAAAUGCGUAGAUAUGUGGAGGAAUACCGAUGGCGAAGGCAGCCCC